CGGCACCCCUCCCCAGACCAGAAAUGGGUGGAACGUCCGCUGUUCUCCCGGUAGUGGGAUAACGGGUGGCCCACAGCGGGUGUGGGCCUCACUCGGUGCAGUCUGCGGGAGGUUACAAAGCCUUAGUUUCGCGUUUGUAGCAUAACCGGCAAUCCCAGUGAACAGGUUUUCCAGCCAAAUGAAGGGCAGCCAAACGGAAGGCUACAAUUUUCCCUUCCCAACCAGGGAUGGCAUCGUCAUCGUGGAAAACCUAGAGGAAGAAAAAGAAGCCACAGUGAAAAAAUAACAGGAUAAGACAGUGACUCUCACUAGACAACUGCUGCUGCUAAAAGCAUUUCAACAUCCUUGUCAUAUCUGAGUCUACUCUCGCGUAGACACUGAUGGACUCUUAACAGCGGCUUGCAUCUUUCUUGCUUUU